rnacentral:rRNA from 1 species
GUGAGGAAUUUUCCGCAAUGGGCGAAAGCCUGACGGAGCAAUGCCGCGUGAAGGAUGAAGGCCUAUGGGUUGUAAACUUCUUUUCUCAGAAAAGAAUUAUGACGGUACCUGAGGAAUAAGCAUCGGCUAACUCUGUGCCAGCAGCCGCGGUAAGACAGAGGAUGCAAGCGUUAUCCGGAAUGAUUGGGCGUAAAGCGUCUGUAGGUUGUUUAAAAAGUAUUCUGUCAAAGAUUAGGGCUUAACCCUAGAUAGGCAGAAUAAACUUUUAAGCUAGAGUUUGGUAGAGGCAGAGGGAAUUCCCGGUGGAGCGGUGAAAUGCGUAGAUAUCGGGAGGAACACCAAAGGCGAAGGCACUCUGCUGGGCCAAUACUAACACUGAGAGACGAAAGCGAGGGGAGCAAAUGGGAUUAGAAACCCCAGUAGUCC